rnacentral:rRNA from 1 species
GAUGAACGCUAGCGGCAGGCUUAACACAUGCAAGUCGAGGGGUAUAGUUCUUCGGAAUUAGAGACCGGCGCACGGGUGCGUAACGCGUAUGCAAUCUACCUUUCACAGAGGGAUAGCCCCAGAGAAAUUUGGAUUAAUACCUCAUAGUAUAGCAGUUUCGCAUGAAACCACUAUUAAAGUCACAACGGUGAAAGAUGAGCAUGCGUCCCAUUAGCUAGUUGGUAAGGUAACGGCUUACCAAGGCAACGAUGGGUAGGGGUCCUGAGAGGGAGAUCCCCCACACUGGUACUGAGACACGGACCAGACUCCUACGGGAGGCAGCAGUGAGGAAUAUUGGACAAUGGGCGCAAGCCUGAUCCAGCCAUGCCGCGUGCAGGAUGACGGUCCUAUGGAUUGUAAACUGCUUUUGUACAGGAAGAAACACUGGUUCGUGAACCAGCUUGACGGUACUGUAAGAAUAAGGAUCGG